rnacentral:rRNA from 1 species
GGAAUAUUGGUCAAUGGACGAGAGUCUGAACCAGCCAUGCCGCGUGCAGGAAGAAGGCCUUUGGGUUGUAAACUGCUUUUAUACGGGAAGAAAAAGUAACUGCGGUUAAAAUUGACGGUACCGUAUGCAUAAGCAGCGGCUAACUUCGUGCCAGCAGCCGCGGUAAUACGUAGGGUGCAAGCGUUGUCCGGAUUUACUGGGUUUAAAGGGUGCGCAGGCGGCCUGUUAAGUCAGUGGUGAAAUCCCAUCGCUCAACGAUGGAACUGCCAUUGAUACUGACGGGCUUGAGUAUGCAAGAGGUAGGCGGAAUUCGUGGUGUAGCGGUGAAAUGCAUAGAUACCAUGAGGAACACCUAUUGUGAAGACAGCUUACUGGAGCAUAACUGACGCUCAUGCACGAAAGCGUGGGGAGCG